rnacentral:rRNA from 1 species
GACGAACGCUGGCGGCGUGCUUAACACAUGCAAGUCGAAGAAAGUGGCGAACGGGUGAGUAACGCGUAAUCAACCUGCCCUGCACUUCGGGAUAAGCCUGGGAAACUGGGUCUAAUACCGGAUAGUGUGGGAUGGGCCCGCGGCCUAUCAGCUUGUUGGUGGGGUAAUGGCCUACCAAGGCGGCGACGGGUAGCCGGCCUGAGAGGGUGGACGGCCACAUUGGGACUGAGACACGGCCCAGACUCCUACGGGAGGCAGCAGUGGGGAAUAUUGCACAAUGGGCGGAAGCCUGAUGCAGCGACGCCGCGUGGGGGAUGACGGCCCUCGGGUUGUAAACUCCUUUCACCAUCGACGCGGUAGAUGGAGAAGAAGCACCGGCUAACUACGUGCCAGCAGCCGCGGUAAUAC